UCUCAAAAUGUCUGAUUGUGAUAUCCUAACCUUUUGUGCUGUCCUGAUGUGAAAUGGAUUAUGUAUGUGAAGAAUUGAAGUGUGAUGAAUGACAAAGGAACUGUGACCUGGCCUUAGGCAACUUCAUAAGGUUUAUGAACACAAGCACCCUGGUGCUGGGAUCUUUGAUCUGAUCACUGAUGUUUGGGAAGUGUACACAAGUUGGAACACCUGGGAUGAUUUAUGUCUUAGGAUUUAGUUGUAUGGACACUGAUGUUUAAGAAAAGGUGUUUUCUGUGCAUCAUGGAUAUACCAUCCACUGGGGAACCAUUAAUUAAAGUAGCAGCUGUGCAUCUUCCCCUGGGCUCUAGGAGAAAUGGUAUUUGCUGCUCUUUUACCAGAAGCUCAAGGCUUUUAUUCUCUGAGGAGAAAGAAGAAAGGUAUUUUGUCAUAGCACCAGAAAACUGGUCAACAGUGAUCAAAUAGAAUUAACUUGAGAAAGUAGGACUGGCUCAACAUUCAAAUGUAAAUUCAACCUAUCAACUGAAGGAAGAAGAAGAAAAAAAAAACUACAGAUAUUAUCACGAUAGAUAAAGACAAAUUAUUGAUAAAAUCCAAUGCAUAUUACUGAAUAAAAUUCUUAGUAAACUGGAGAUAGAUGUAAACUUCCUCAACUGAAAAACUACAUCUACAAAAACUCUAUAUCUGGCAUUACAUUUAAUAGUGACAAGAGAAUCUGUUACUCUAAGAUGAGCAAGGAGGCAAGAUUAUUUGUUCUUACUAUUCCUAUUGAAUUUCACCCUGAGUCCUAGUCAAUAUGAUGUUGUAAGACAAAGAAUUAAAGUGGUAAAUAGAUCUGAAUGGAAGAAAUAUGGUUGUCAUUAUCCACAUAUGACAUGCAUGUUCACAUGGAAAAUCCACGGAAUCUAUAAAAACAAUCAGAACUAAUAGGUGAGUCGAACAUAGUUGCAAGAUGUCAAUAGUAAAUAAAGAUUUAUUAUAUUUCUACAUACUAGUUGUGAAAAAUUAAAAUACAAAAAUUAAGUACACGUGCACAAAAGAAUAAAUGCAACAAUCUUGAGACUUAUCCUUAGAAAAGUCUGCUUGCAAGUAUGGCCUUUAUUUAAAUUUUGGAGAGCUGAAUUUCAGGAAGGUUCCCCUCAGUCUUUGAUAAAAAUGGGUCAAAGAGCCAAACCUCCUCAUGAAAGCAAUAUGAUUUGUGGUGAAUACCUGCAGAACUUUGGUACACACUAGGCAGAGUGCCUACAAGACCCACUCCCAAUAAGAGCCUUAGGUAUUUGAUCUCUACUAAGCUUUCCUGAAAGAACAUUUCAUACCUGGUCUCAGGACUUCUUGGUGGAGGGAUUAAGCAUAUUCUGUGUGAUUCCAUCAGGAGAAGGUUUUCUUUAGACUUACCCCAUGUGCCUUUUCCUUGCCUACAUCUUAGUAAGCUCUCUGUCAUUGUGAACAAAAUACCUGACAAGAACAACUUAGAAGAGUAAAAAUUUAUCUUGGGAUCACUGUUUCUGAGGGUCAGUGCAAGGUCAACUGACCCCAUUGCUCUGGGCCCAAGGUGAGACAGUACCUCAUGGUAGAGGACAUAGAGGAAGAAAACUACUUAAAUCAUGGAAUCCAGGAAAGAGGGAGGGAGGGAAGGAGGGACAAAAGGAAAAAGAGGGAAGAGAAGAGAAGGGAAGAGAAGGGAAGAGAAGAGAAGAGAAGAGAAGAGAAGAGAAGAGAAGAGAAGAGAAAGGAGCCAGAGAUAAGAUUCAAAAUCCACAAAGACAUAUCCUCAGUGACCUACUUCCUUCAGCCACAUCCUACCUACCUAUGGUGACUACUCAGUACAGUAGUGCUUUCAAAUUAGCAAUCCAUCAAAUGGAUAGGUCCACUGAUUAGGUUACUGCUCUCAAAAUCUAAUGAUUUUAUUCCUGAAUAUUCCUACAAUGUCUAAUAUGAGCUUUUAGAAGACACCCCAUAUUGAAACCAUUACAUGUUGAUUUUCUUUAUAUCUUUUUGUUGUAAUAA